AGACUCGUAAUAGGUGCAUACAACUUGGAAUAUAGGAUCCAAAUCACUCUUAUAUUCAUGAAAACAUAGUAGGUUCAGAUCUAAAAUCACGCCACUCGGGCCCCAGUAACAAGCAUUAAGCAUAGCAAAGUCAUAACAACAUCAAUCUAAGAACAUAGUGGAUACUAGGGAUCAAGCCCUAUCAAAUUAACUCGAUUACAUGAUCAAUUCCAUCCACACCCAUCACCGACCAGGAAGCCUACAAAGGAACUACUCACUCCUGGUGGUGAGCAUCAUGGAAUAGUUGAUGGAGAAGGGUUGGUGAUGACGACGACGAAGAAUACACCUCUCCGGAGCCCCAAACUGGCUCCCGAUCGGCCCUCCCUAGGAAGAACGGGAGCCCCAAACUUUUCUUUGACUUUCUUCUCCAAAUAUGUGAAUUUAUAGGACUGGAGAUAGGGCCGGGGAAGCCUCGUGGGCCCCACCACACAAAGGGUGCGGCCUAGGGGGUGGUCACGCCCUGCUGGCUCAUGGGACAGAGGGACCCCACCCCCUCUGGUGGGUCCUUACUUCAAUAAAUUCACAAAAAGUUUCGUCCAAUUCCGAGAACUUUUAUUUCUGCACAAAAAUAACACCAAUGUAGUACUCUGAAAAGAACGUUAGUCCGGGUUAGUUUCAUUCAAAUCAUGCAAAUUAGGGUCGAAAACAUGAGCAAAAUUGUUUGCAAAAGUAGAUAUGUUGGAGAAGUGUCACGUGUCCAGACUCAGUUUAGGACUCAGGCUUGAUCUGCUGUUGUGCCUGUUCAGGAUGUGAGACCCUCACUAUGUGCACCAGAUGCUACUACUACCGUGCCUCCAUUAGCACAUUUAGUGUCAACUUCACCAGCCGAGAGGACUUCUGCUAAAGUAUUCGCAGACGUUGUUCUCUCGAAUCUUUUCAUGAGUACGAGAGCAACUUCAUUGCCCCAUGAAGGAGACACUACCCAUAGCGACACUUAUCUCUAUACGUUCGAACUUUUUGGUAACUUGUUGCCAAAGGGGAGAAAUUAUAUAGAUCAUAGGGAUGAGAGAGAGAAUGUGUGUAUUACUUUUAAUGCCUCUAUUUGGUUUUGAAAACAUUUGGCCAACUUUUGUUUUCCUUAAACUUUCUAGUGUUUGAUCAUACGCUUUAUGAUUGAUGUUACUAUUCCCUAUCCUUGUGAUAUUUAUAUGAUGAUCAUUCACUCAUGUUUGGUGUUAUGGGCAUUGUAAUCCAUUAAUAUCAUUUAUGCGCACCACCAAGUUGUAUGUGACAUGGAAGAGUGACCCAUGAUCCUAAUCGAUUGUGCAUUUGCAUUCAAACAUAAAUUUAAAAUAGUCCACAAAUUUAGGGGGCAUUUUCUUAUCACAUAAUUAUUAAAGCCACGAUGCUAUACAUUGAUUAUAUUCUAUGUCGAAGCUCUGAUCUAUAUUAUGUCGUCGAUUACCAAAAAAUGGGAUAUUCAAAGAACAACUUCGCCCUAGGUGGUUUUCGUAAUUAAUAACAACAUAUGUUUCAUUGAACUAAUAAUUUCAUCAAGUAUAUUUCACGAAAAGUUCAAUGAAUGGAUUGGAUAGGAUUGUGAGGAGAUCCCCUAGAUGCUUGGAACAUCAAUUGGCAAAAUCUUCCAAACUCUACAUUUUAUAUUUAUGUGAUAAAUCACAUUUCAGUCCAUAGAAAAGCCAAUACUGUUAAAAGGGGGUGAUGUAUCUAUGAUGAUCUAGUUGCUCAAAUGCUUAGAGAUUGGCCACGAAAAACCCUCAAGAAUUCUCCCACAAUAUAUUAUGUCAGUACCCUAAAAGUUAAAUUUGGUGCCACCAACUUUUCCAAAUCUGCCAUACCAAGUUUCCCUUAGACAAACUUCAGAGCCAAACCCUAGCAUCUCGGUGCCACCGAGACCACAUUCGGUACGACCAAAAAGUAGGUGCCAACUUUUUAUUGCCAAACUUUUAAAUUUCGGAAUUCCUGAGUUUUUCAUUUUGGUCACACCAAGAGUUUAAUCUGCCUAAAGUUACCCGAAAUUUGCCACAUGUUGCACUAGUCGGUGUAACUGAGUUUCUUCUUUGGUGCCACCGAGUUGGGAAAUAAUGUUGUAACGGUUGGAUUUUUGGAGAUGGAUAUAUAUACACAUCCACCUCCCUCUCAUUCGUAGAGAGAGCACUCAAAACAAGCCAACACUUUCCCCAUUCAUUUUCUGAGAGAGAACCACCGACUCAUGUGUUGAGAUCAAGAUCUUCCACUCCAACCAUAUGAAUCUUGAUUUCUAGCCUACCCAAGUUGCUUUCCACCCAAUCAAUCUCUUCUACCAAGCCCAAUCUGUGAAAGAGUGAUUGAGUGUUAAGGAUACUAUCUUUUGAAGCACAAGAGCAAGGAGGUCAUCAUCCAUACCACAUCUAUUAUGUUUUGGAGAGUGUUGUCUCCUAGAUUGGUUAGGUGUCGCUUGGGAGCCUCCAAUUCAUUGUGGAGUUGAACCCCGAGCGAGGCUAGUCCUUCGUGGACGUAAGCCUUGAUGGAAUAAACAAGGUUGCUUCUCCGUGGACGCUUCGUGGGUGGAGCCCUCCGUGGGCCCGUGCAGGAGUUACCCUCUGUGGGUUGAAGUCUCCAUCAAAGUGGACGUACGAUAGCACCACCUAUCGGAACCGCGUCAAAAAUCUUCAUGUCUUCAUUGUGUUUGAUAUUCCUAUCCCUACCCUCUACUUACAUGUGUAUGUAUUUACUUUCCGUUGCUAUACUUGUAGACAUUCAUGUGUAGGGUGUAAUAGACUUUGUAUAAUCGCUCAAACUUGCCAACCCCUAAAAUUGCGAAAAGGUUAAGUUUUUUUUUCAAUAAGUCUAACCACCGCACCCCCCCCCCCGCCCCGCACCCCUCUAGACAAACUUUGUACCCUACAAUCACUCUCUAUGUUCUUCGUUGCCAUGAUCACCGUGAUCUUAUGUAAUCAGUCUUGUGUGGUGCGCUUGUUGGUAUAUGAUGAAUUGUGGGUUUAUGAUCAGAUUAUUCAUGAUAUUAUAUUGACUUCCUUGGCGGUAUUUUAAUAUAUAUGCAUUAUUACGAUAUAUUCGUAAUUAUCUCCAAUCUAUCGAUGUAGUUUGACCAACUAGAUUGAUUUAUUUUCAACGGGAGAGGUGUGCUCUAGUGGGUUCAAUCUUGCGGUGCUCAAUCCGAGUGACAAAAAGGGACAUGACACGUACUGUAUUUAUGCCAAUAAGGAUAAAACGAUGGAGUUUAUUCAUAUUAUAUGGAUUUAGUUUGUUUACAUGAUGUCAUUGUUCUUCAAGCAUUACUCUGUUUUCACUUAAUACUCUAGAUGCAUGCUGGAUAGCGGUCAAUUGGUGGAGUAAUAGUAGGAGAUGCAGGCAGGAGUUGGUCCACUUUCUUAUGUACGUGAUGCCUAUAUGUAAUAACCAUUGUCAUGAAUAAAUAUUUCAUAACUAUGAGCUUUUCUAUCAAUUGCCCAACAGUAAUUUGUUUACCCACCGUAUGCUUUCUACGAGAGAGAAGCCUCUAGCGAAAACUAUGGCACCCUGGUCUAUUCACACAUAUGUUUACAAAAAUACUAAAUACCUUGCUGUGUUUUAUUAUUUAUAUUUACUUUUUAUAGUUAAAAUAUUUCAACUAUCUAUCUAUCGCUAUUUAUCGCUUGCAAGUAACGAGUUUAAGGGGAUUGACAACCCUCUUACCCACGUUGGGUUCAAGUGUGUGCUCUUUUGUGUGUAGGCGCUGAAGAUGAGAAAUUGUGUAGUCCUCCUAUUGGUUCGAUAACAUUGGUUCUCGCUAAAAAAAUACUUAUCUAUACUGUGAUGCAUCAUACCCUUCUUUUGGAAGAAAAAACCCAACGCAGAUUACAAGUAUCAUUUGGCUACGUGUGGAUUGAUGUUUUAAUCUCACCUCUUAUCAACGUGGUAAAAUUAUCUCACACCAUCACACUUAAACAACUUUGUGUAUGAACAUCAAAAUGAAAAAACUUACAACACGAUAAGUUUUUUGAAUAACGAGAUAAAGCUAGUGUUCGAAGGAAAUUUCAAACAACUAAAAUGCACACAUGAAAAUGUUUGUACAGUCCACAUGUACAGUCCACUAGCAAGAUAUUGAUCUACUUGUGUGCAUAUAACAAUUCCAACACAAACGUCAUGUGAAACAGUGAGAUAAAGCUAGUGCUCAAAGAAAACGUCAAACAUUCGAUCAUGCGUGAAGAAUUUGACAAAAAAUCAACUAAACUAAUAAGCACACAUGAACACAUUUCUAUAGUGCACUUGGGAGAUAUGGUGCUACUCAACUACGACCGUCCAAACAAAAAACUUACAACACCAAAGUUGUGUGAAACAGCAAGAUAAAGCUACUCACCAAAGAAAACUUUAAAUGGUCAACCUUGUGCAAUAAAUUUGACCAAAUUCUUCUAAAAGGCUCUAAAUGUAAUAUGAAAUUGAAGAACUUCACAAAAUUAAAAACGUUCAUCUGAAUGAAACACAACGUCGAUGUGCAUCUUUUUGUGUAGAGAUUAUCACAAAUCAAAAUAUCGUUUUAUAAAUUAGAAGGAAUUAUGUGAAGUAGGUUAAGCAAGUUAACACAACAAUAACACAUGGAAACCUAUGUACCACAUUGAAAGGUAAGAGCCAACGCGUGUGUUCGGUGGAGCCUUUUUUUGAAACGGGGCAAAAGAAUUGCCUUUAUAUUGAUAUAGAAGGAGCAAAAACAAGGGGGGCUUAGCCAGAAAAAGAAAAAAGGUACAAUCACGAAGAGGUAAAAGCUCAGUCCAUAAGUUCCGCAAGGAUUUUUCCUCCCGCUAAGAUCCAAGCCUUCCCUACCUGACGGAUCUUGCGCAUGACCUCCGAAGGCAUCGAGGACUUGUUGUUGAAGACCCUCUCUGAUGGGGUCAUAGUCCUAGGGUAGGGUCAUAGGCCUGCCAUGUAGGUCCUACCCAAGGACCACCCCUCACAAAGGACAAGGCCCUUAGUCAGCCCCGACUGAAUUAAGGAGUACCCAUCAUCCAGUCGGUAACAGGUCCUCGACCAUCCAGUCGGAGACUAGCAUUCGGAGGACACCAAGCUAACCGACUGGAUACACUCGGUACAUCGUAACCUCUCUGGAGGGAAACGGUCGCACGUUUCCGGGUGCAUUUAUUAGCAUUUAGAGCGUACGUUACCUGUAACGUACGCAUUCAAUCCCCACUACUCCACCCCUGUACCGGAACCGUUGUGGAGGGCAGCGCACUCUAUAUAAGCCACCCUCCCCCAAUGGUAGAGGGGUUAGCAAUUCAUUGUAUUCCCUAUUCCACUCGACAACAAAGCUCCCUGAGCACUGAGACGUAGGGUUAUUACCUCCACCGCAGAGGGGCCCGAACUCAUACAACCUCGCCGUAGCUGGGACUCUGCCCAUCCUUUUCGUACCCUACACAUCUACUGUCAGGCUUAUACCCACGACAGUUGGCGCCCACCGUGGGGCAGGCGUCUAAGCGACUUCCGGCGAGUUUGCGACUACUUCCUUUCGUCAUGUCGUCCGGUGGAGAUUCAAGCAUGGGUCACCAGAUCUUCUUUGGCGCUCUCUCCUUCAUCGUCGACGAUUCGGCGUGGCUUCGGGAUGCGCCCCUCGACGUCGAGACGCUUCCCCAUUGCGGGGCUACGCACUUCCGUGCCGGCGCCCGCGGCAUUCUUCUUCUCCAACAGUCGGCUCCGGUGUCGACCUACACCGCCGUCACGCGCCGCGUCAAGCGGUCCCGCCGUCCGCGGCUCCAGCGUUGGGUGCAACACGCCCAUGUGCACCAGAACGCAUCUUCACAAGUGGCGGUUCUAGAGUCAGUUGUGGUUGCCCCGCUGUCCCAGCGCUCGGGCUCGGUUCCGACUGAGUUUCCUUCCGAGUUCGCGGGUCACGGGCCUACAGCAGAAGUACACAUGGCCAAUUCCCAUGAAGAUCCCCAUCAAGCUGGCCGGAAACGAGCACGAGAUCGGCGAAGCGUCCGGCGCGCGUCGUCCACCUCGCCGUUCUGCUAGUCGGCACACUCGGCGGAGCAACGUGGAGCUGUUCCGCACACCCCUCCUCAACUUGGCUGCAGCUGCCAAGAUAGCCGAUUCCCUCCAGCCGACUGAUUCAGAGGCUGGUAGAGGGAUCCAGCAGAUCCGAGCCCUGUUGCACACGGCGCAGCAGCAGAAUUCGGCGGUCUCCCAGUCGCACAACAGGAUCUAUAAUAGUUAUGUUCAUGCGAAUACGCAUCGGUCGGUUCACAGCCCAGGUUCCCAUCAGCGGCACACCGGAGGCAGCCGUUCCAUAAAUCACGAAGAUCGCCGCCGUUCGCGCACCCCUCCACGGGGUGGGCCCUACGGGCCCUGACAUCAUGAUGUUCGGCGUUCAGUCGGUGACACUUACGACCCAAGGCCCGACGCAAGAGGGCAUAUCACCCAGCGGAGGGUCGAUAGGGGUCGGGCCCACCGCGAUGGUUGCGAUAUCGACCGUCCGAGUGGAAGCAGGGCCACCGUUUCUGGUCCCGAGUGUUUCAGUCGAGCCAUCCGUUCGGCUGACAUCCCUCCCAACUUCCGAUUGGCGACGGGAAUUAGCAAGUUCACAGGAGAGUCCAAGCCAGAAACGUGGCUGGAUGACUACCGAGUGGCAGUCCAGAUCGAGGGAGGGGACGACCAUGUCGCCAUGAAGCACCUCCCUCUGAUGCUCGACGGCUCGGCGCGAGCGUGGCUGAACCAGUUGGCCCCCUCAAGCAUCUACAGUUGGGAAGAUCUGGCCCGAGUGUUCAUCAGGACCUUCAAAGGGACGUGCAAGCGCCCUGUUGGCCUUGUGGAGCUCCAGCACUGCGUCCAGAAGCAGAAUGAGCCUCUGCGUGACUUCAUCCAGCGCUGGACAAUUCUCUAUCACACGGUGGAGAACGUCACCGAGCAUCAAGCAGUCUGCACCUUCAAGGCAGGUGUGCGGUACAGGGAUCUGUACUUGAAGUUCGGCCGAACAGGCGACAUCUCCAUGAGCAAGAUCAUGGAGAUAGCAGCUCGCUACGCAAAUGGCGAAGAAGAGGACCGCAUCCGAAGCGGCAAGCACAAAACAGUCGCUGAUGGCGAUGGGGGCAACACUCGAAAGCAGAAGCAGAAAGCUCCGACCGCUCCGCAAGUAGAAGCUGCAGCCGUAACCAAUGCCAAGUUCAAGGGCAAAGAAGGCUUAGUUCACCCCCAAGAAGAAGCAGUUCAAUAACCCCAUCCUGGACCAGCCAUGUCCGGUUCAUACGAAGAUGGAUGAAGAAGGCAACCCCAUAUAUGCGAAGCAUACCACUCGACAGUGUCGCCUCCUGAUCCAGGGGUUCAGCGAAGGGCAACCGAGUGAGAAGGACCAUGAAUAGGAUGAGGAGGAUAAGGAGGAUCCGUUCCCCCAAGUCCAUGCAACCCUGAUGAUCUUUGCUGACGUCAAGAGCAAGAGCCGACUGAAGCUGGUGAACAGAGAGGUGAACAUGGCCACCCCUACCAACCCCAAGUUCCUCAAAUGGUCUCAGACUGCGAUCACCUUCGACUAGUCGGAUCAUCCGGCACAUGUACCCACCCCGGGAAGACAGGCCCUGGUCGUCGACCCAGUGGUAGAAGGAGUCCGACUGCGCAAAGUCCUCAUGGAUGGCGGCAGCGGCUUGAACAUCAUGUACGCCGACACCCUCAAGGGGAUGGGCAUCCCGAUGUCCAAACUCAGCGAGAGCAGCAUGCAGUUCCACGGAGUCGUCCCUGGACGGAAGGCCUAAUCACUCGGCCAGAUCGCGUUGGACGUCAUUUUCGGCUCCGACAAGAACUUCCACUAGGAAAAGCUGACGUUCGAAGUGGUUGACUUCCAGAGCGCUUAUCACGCAAUUCUGGGUCGCCCAGCGUAUGCGCACUUCAUGGCCCGUCCAUGUUACGUAUACCUGAAGCUGAAGAUGCCAGGCCCGAAGGGUGUGAUCACCAUCACAGGCAAUCAGCGGCGAGCUGAAGAGUGUCUGCAGCAGGGAUCAAGAAUCGCCGACUAGCAGAUGGCCGUCCUCGAGCUGGACGAGUACAAGAAAACAGUCGACCCCGCCGACCUGAUGCGCUCGAAGAAGCCAGCUUCAGAGUCUGCAUUUCAGUCCACGGGAGAGACGAAGAAGGUCAGCAUCCACCCGACGGACGCCACUGUUGUCCCGACGAACAUCUCCACCACCCUCGAUCCUAAAUAGGAAGCCGAGCUCACCCAAUUCCUCCGUGAGAACUGGGACAUCUUCGCAUGGAAACCCUCCGACAUGCUAGGUGUACCCAGGGAGUUGGCUGAGCACCGACUGCACGUGGAUUCCACGGCUCGGCCUGUCCGAGAGCGCCUGCGCCGGUCCGCCGCGCACAAGAGGAAGGCAAUCGGGGAAGAGGUGGCCAAGCUGCUGGCAGCCAACUUCAUUCGCGAGGUUCACCACUCCGAGUGGCUCGCCAAAAUGUUGUCAUGGUGCCCAAGAAGGACAAGUCGCUCCGAAUGUGCAUCGACUUCAAGCAUCUCAAUAAGGUCUGCCCGAAAGACCAUUUUCCGCUCCCCCGCAUAGAUCAAAUUGUCGAUUCGACUGCUGGUUGCGAGCGUGUGUCAUUUCUUGAUGCCUACUCGGGCUAUCAUCAGAUCCGUCUGUAUGGUCCCGAUGAGUUAAAAACAGCCUUCAUCACCCCAUUCGGUUGCUUCUGCUACAUCACUAUGCCGUUCGGUCUGAAGAAUGCAGGAGCUACCUUUAUGUGCAUGAUCCAAAAAUGUCUCCUCGAUCAGAUCGGUCGGAAUGUGGAGGCGUAUAUGGAUGAUAUCGUAGUCAAGUCACACAAAGGUUCCGACCUGCUGACUGACUUGGCAGAAACAUUCGCCAACCUUCGUAGGUACGAUAUCAAACUCAACCCCGCCAAAUGUUCAUUCGGCGUUCCCAGCGGAAAGUUACUCAGUUUCUUCGUUUCCGAACGAGGGAUCGAUGUCAACCCCGAAAAGAUCGGGACCAUCGUCCGAAUGGAGAGGCCGGUCAGAAUACACGAUGUUCAACGGCUCACAGGUUGCCUAGCGGCUUUGAGCAGGUUCAUCAGUCGACUCGGCGAAAAAGCACUUCCUCUGUACCGACUCAUGAAGAAAUCAGAUACUUUCGAGUGGACAGAUGAAGCCCAAGUCGCAUUCGACGACCUCAAAGUCCUACUUUCCACCAAGCCGGUUCUUACUGCUCCGCUCAGUAAAGAGCCCCUUCUUCUGUAUAUCGCGGCUACAAAUCAAGUCGUCGGUACUGUUCUUAUAGUCGAACGAGAAGAAGAAGGCAAAGCAUACAAAGUUCAGCGGCCAGUGUACUACAUCUCCGAAGUCCUGACUCCUUCCAAGCAGAGGUAUCCCCACUAUCAAAAACUUAUCUACGGGAUUUACAUGACUGCGAAGAAGGUGGCCCAUUAUUUCCAAGAACACUCGGUGUCUGUCGUUUCUGAUGCUCCAUUGUUGGAAAUUCUCCACAAUCGAGAUGCGUUAGGCCGAGUGGCGAAGUGGGCGAUGGAGAUGCUGUACUGCGAUAUCAAGUUCGAGGCCAAGAAAGCUAUUAAGUCUCAAGCUCUGGCUGACUUCAUAGCAGAAUGGAUAGAACAACAGCAACCGACCCACAUCUGCUCGGCCCAUUCGACAAUGUUCUUCGAUGGGUCCAAGAUGUUGAAUGGCUCCGGCGCUGGCGUUGUGAUCAUAUCACCAAAGGGUGACAAGCUCAAGUACGCGCUACAGAUACACUUCGAUUCCUCCAACAACGAGGCAGAGUAUGGAGCUCUCCUCUAUGGGUUGUGUAUGGCCAUCUCACUCGGCGUCCGUCGCCUGAUGGUCUAUGGUGAUUCGGAUUUGGUGGUCAAUCAAGUGAUGAAAGAGUGGGACGUCAGAAACCCCACCAUGACUACAUACUGCAAUGCAGUGAGGAAGCUUGAGAAGAAGUUUGAAGGUCUAGAACUUCACCAUGUUCCAAGACUGAAGAACCAAGCAGCUGAUGAGUUAGCAAAACUCGGAUCCACUCGGAGACCAGUCCCGAGUGACGUCUGCCUCGAGCACCUCCACCUCCCCUUAGUCAAAGAAGAUCCUUUCACAGAGGAGCCGGUACAACCAAAGAGUUCUACGGAUCCGACUGAAGUCGAUGUUCCUGCUGUGGUUGAUCUGGUCAUGGAGAUUCUUGCCGUCAUCCCCGAUUGGACUGUGCCGAUCGUUGCAUAUAUUCUGAGGCAAGAACUACCAGAAGACGAAGUCCAGGCCAGGCAGAUAGUCCGCAGGUCGAAGUCAUUCACUGUCAUUGAUGGCCAAUUGUAUAAAGAAAGUAUCUCAGGCGUUCUUCAACGAUGCAUCUCCCAGAGGAGGGGCAGCUGAUUCUGGAGGAUAUUCACUCGGGGACCUGCGGUCAUCAUGCUUCUUCGAGAGCAAUCGUCGCCAAGGCAUUCAGGGCUGGUUUCUUCUGGCUGCAGGCUAACGAGAUGGCUAAAGAUAUGGUUGACCGAUGUGAGGGCUGCCAGUUCUACUCCAACAAAUCCCACAAGCCGACGUCUGCGUUGAAGACGAUCCCUCUUGUGUGGCCGUUUGCAGUGUGGGAUUAGAUACAGUUGGCCCAUUCAAGACAGGCCAAGGUGGAUACACACAUCUGUUGGUGGCAGUCGACAAGUUCACGAAAUGUAUCGAAGCGAAGCCCAUCAAGAAGCUCGACGCCUCAACAUCCGUCAAGUUUGUAAGGGACAUCAUCUUCAGAUUCGGUGUACCUCACAGCAUAAUCACGGACAACGGGACAAACUUUGACUCGGACAGAUUCAAAGGUUUCUGUACAAGCAAAGGCAUCCGAGUGGAUUUUGCUUCCGUAGCGCAUCCUCAGUCCAAUGGACAAGCAGAGCGGGCAAACGGACAUAUUUUGCAAGGUUUGAAGCCCUGACUCCUGCGAGAGAUAGGACAUGCCGCUGGCGCUUGGGUUACCGAGCUACCUUCAGUGCUUUGGGGACUUCGCACAACCCCGAACAGAUCUAUAGGGCGAUCACCGUUCUUCCUCGUUUAUCGAGCAGAAGCGGUCCUUCCGAGUGACUUGCUUCACAAUGCGCCACGAGUCGAACUCUUCUCCGAAGCCGAAGCAGAACAAGCAAGGCAAGACGGAGUGGAUCUCCUGGAGGAGGAGCGCGAGAUGGCACUAACUCGCUCGACCAUUUAUCAACAAAAUUUGCGGCGUUUUCAUGCACGCCACGUCAGAAGUCGCACGUUCCAAGCAGGCGACCUGGUGCUCCGAGUGGAUUAGCAAAGACCUCACAAGUUGGCUCCGGCCUGGGAAGGACCCUUCAUCAUCUCCAAGGUGCUGAACAACGGAGCAUACAGACUCUACAACAUCGAGAGGGAGACAGACGAGCCGCGUGCAUGGAACGGAGAUCUCUUGAAGCUCUUCUACACGUGACGUCGACUGAAGCAAUGUAAAGAACAAGUAUUGGUGAAAUAAUAUAAAGCAGAUUGAGUUUUUUGCAGGUUCAAAGUUCUUCCGCGGUCGCAGACUCCGGUCUCAAAAAAAACUUAGCUGCGAUCCAGAAUCGCCUAAGUAUUAACUUUCUCCCAGUGUGCACUUCACGUCACACUCGGGGGCUUAGCUGCGAUCUAGAAUCGCCUAAGUAUUAACUUUCUUCGAGUGUGCACUUAACGUCACACUCGGGGACUUAGCUGCGAUCCAGAAUCGCCUAAGUAUUAACCUUCUCCGGGUGUGCACUUAACGUCACACUCGGGGACUUAGGGAAUUCCACGGACCCUCAAUGAGGUUCAUGCGGAUGUCAAAACAUCUGACAUGUUCCGAAUGUUUGCCUUUGGCUUCACCAAGAAACGCCAAACGAAAACUCGAGUCAACAUUGCAACAGAAGAGCAAAAGAUUCGAUUCAAAGUUCAACCAAAGAUAGUAGUUCGGUGUGGAUCAAGCUUACCCACACCGAACCACGAAUGUGACGGCCAACAGCAGUGGCCAAAGUUUCUUACAGAUCAACACUCGGCAUACCGAGGAUAAAAGUGUUUUUACGCUUCAUCUGGAUUAACACCAGGACUGGAGGGCUCUACGAACGUGUCCAGAUCAAUACCGUCGACGAUGCGGGUAGCACUUUCAAGGAAGGUUUCCAUAAAGUCUUCAAAUCGAAGUUUCUUCGUGUUAGCCACCUUCAACGUCUUCAACUCCUCCUCGCGCACCUCCUUGCAAUGGACUCGGACCAGAGAUAGAGCAACAUCUGCACCACAACGAGCUGCAGAUUUCUUCCACGACUGCACUCGGUUCGGAAUCUCCUCCAGACGGGUCAUCAGGUUCUCCAUCUCCUGCCGCGACUCAUCUUCUGGCCAAAGCUCCUUGUCGAUUCGGCCGACGACUUCUCUCAGUCGACCGAUGAAAGGACCAACUUUGCCCACGCGGAUGUGCGCACGGAGCAGAUCCCGAUUGGCGUCCUCGCCGAGUGGAACGUUCUCGAGAAUCGACCGCUCUACAUCAGCCGCUUCAGCUUCAGCGUCAAAGCAAAAAUCUGCGACAACAGGACAAGCACACAAUAAGUGUCGAGUGUGACGCGCAUAACACAACCACUCGGAAAGAGAAAGACUUACCAGCCAGACGCGUCAUCAUCUGCCGAGCCGAGUCGCUGACGUAUUUCUCCUGUGCUCUGCACCGUUUGUUCAACACGUCCAUCUGACCCAUCAGCGCAGUCCUCUGUUUCCCCAUCUUUUCCACUUCCUCAGUCAACACCUUGUUCGUUUCACGCGCCUGCUCCAAUGACUUCUCUCGUCCCUCCAGAGCAUCCUUCAUGCCAGUCAUUGCAAGCAGUGCCGCAUCAAGCUCACCAGCUAACUGAUUCUUCUCCGCCCUGAGAGUCUCAUAGGUUGUUCCCAUUUCACAAGUUUUCUGCCAGCAAACACCAAGGGACACUCAGAAAAUCCAACAACAGAAGUUUAAGUUCUUCAGACCCCUGCCGACGCAAGCAGUCGACAGCGGCCUCGGGGACUACACCCACUGGGUUCACUAAGAGUGACCCCACUGGCAUGCAACUCAAGCAGGCCCGCCCUAUUGAGAUGCAUGUUACCACCUACGCCUACGAGGCCAAUACUACCCGACCUGAGUACAAAUUACUCUCGGGGACUCUUACAGUAAGUGCACUCCGAGUGCCACAACUACGCGCACUCGGUCAUGUUAUUUACAGAUCUGACCAAAGCAAAGACAAUAUGUAUAAAGACAACUGCCGGUGCAAGCACUCGAUAGAAGUCUCGGGGACUACACCCACUGGGUUCACUCAGAGUGAACCCAUUGCGAACAACAGAUGCUAUCCAAAAACACCCAGUGGGUUACAAGAUAAAAGUAAAUACUUACUAGCCCACUUACUCGGAUAUCAUCCCGCAGCUCUAGGCUCCGCUGGUACAAGGACGCGACGGAGUCGUAGGCCCUCUUGGCCUCCCCAGCCAUCAGCUCCGCCUGCACCAUGGCUCCCUUGGCCCCUCCCACCUGCUCCUCCGGGAGACGCUGGAUGUUGAACUCGACAUUCGACGAGCCUGGCAUCGUCGGAAGCUCCUGAGGCAUCCCGAGGUCCGCUCCAGUCGGCACCUCAACCACCAGCGCCGGUUCAGUCGGCGGCAGCGCCUCAGUCGGCGGCACGUUGGCGGCGAGAGCAGCAACAGGCGGAGCGGCCUCAAGAACGGGCUCCGCAGCCUGUUCAGCUCUCCCCUGAUCGCCCUCGUCCACGCAAAUCGCCCCUGAUAGAC
rnacentral:lncRNA from 1 species